rnacentral:rRNA from 1 species
UACGGGGGGAGCAAGCGUUGUUCGGAAUCACUGGGCGUAAAGGGCGUCUAGGCGGUUCGGUAAGUGGGAUGUGAAAUGCCCGGGCUCACCCCGGGACCUGCAUCCCAAACUGCUGAGCUUGAGUACAGGAGAGGGUAGGGGAAUUCCAGGUGUAGCGGUGAAAUGCGUAGAUAUCUGGAGGAACACCGGUGGCGAAGGCGCCUACCUGGCCUGUUACUGACGCUGAAGCGCGAAAGCUAGGGGAGCAAACGGG